AGCAGCCGCGGUAAUUCCAGCUCCAAUAGCGUAUAUUAAAGUUGUUGCAGUUAAAAAGCUCGUAGUUGAAUUUCGGGAUCAGUACGCCGGUCGUGCCUUCGGUAUGUACUGGUGUCACUGAUUCCUCCCUUCUGAAGAACCGUUAUGCCGUUCAUUUGGUGUGACGGGGAAUCAGGACUGUUACUUUGAAAAAAUUAGAGUGUUUAAAGCAGGCUCGCGCUUGAAUACAUUAGCAUGGAAUAAUGAAAUAGGACGUUUGAUCUUAUUUUGUUGGUUUCUAGGAUCGACGUAAUGAUUAAUAGGGAUAGUUGGGGGCAUUAGUAUUCAAUUGUCGGAGGUGAAAUUCUUGGAUUUAUUGAAGACUAACUACUGCGAAAGCAUUUGCCAAGGAUGUUUUCAUUAAUCAAGAACGAAAGUUAGGGGAUCGAAGACGAUCAGAUACCGUCGUAGUCUUAACCAUAAACUAUGCCGACUAGGGAUCGGAUGAUGUUAUUUUUAAUGACUCA
rnacentral:rRNA from 1 species